rnacentral:rRNA from 1 species
GGGAGGCAGACCNCAAAAAAGGACGUCCCAGUUCGGAUUACAGCCUGCAACCCGGCUGUAUGAAGCUGGAAUCGCUAGUAAUCGCAGAUCAGAAUGCUGCGGUGAAUACGUUCCCGGGUCUUGUACACACCGCCCGUCACACCAUGGGAGCCAGGAAUGCCCGAAGCCAGUGGCCUAACCGCAAGGGAGGAGCUGUCGAAGGCAGGCCCGGUAACUGGGGUGAAGUCGUAACAAGGUACC